CUAGAAUUACAGGUAUGAGCCACUGCACCUGGCCUGUACUUGAAUAUUUUAAUAGUCUUCUCUCAGCAAUUGUUAGAGCAGCUGAGCACAAGGACCAGUUUUCUUACAGAAGUUUGAAAUAAUACUAUCAGUCACCUUGAUCUAAUUUACAUUUAUGGGACACUAGGCCAAACAGGUGCAGAAUACAUAUUCUUUUGAAAUGUGCAUUGGAACAUUCAGUAAAAUAGGCCACCAUAUGCUGGGCCUGGAGUCUCAGUAAAUAUCAAAAGAUUGCCAAGUUAUGUGUCACACUUUCCUGUUUUUUUGUAUGUCUUACUUUCUUAUUAAAAGCUAGACAUUUUUAAGAUCAGCAGUCCCCAACCUUUUUGUCACCUGCCUAUGAAGAUGUUCCAAGUAAUACAUACGGAGAAACCACUCUAUGUCCAGGCAAAUAACUGUGUAGAAGCUAAUGAAUGGAUAGACGUACUCUGCAGGGUGAGCCGAUGCAAUCAAAACAGGCUCAGUUUUUAUCAUCCCUCUGAAAACUCACCCCCAAAGAAAAUAAGCUGUAAAAGUGCUAGAAUUAUUUUAUAGUUGAUUUUUUGGACCACUUCAGGUGUAGAUGGAUACUGCAAUGGAUAACAACAGCAACAACUCGCAUUUAUUGGGAACUUACUCUACCAAGGGGCACUGUGCUUAUAGUACUUUACAGCUUAUGUAGAUUGCUUUUAGAAGCAAGUUAAUGAAGUCCCAAUUCUUGGAAAUAACUCAAAUAAAUUACAAGAAGCCUGUCUGUUCUUUGUGAGACUGUAUUUUCUUACUGAUUUAGUAAUUUCUUCUUAAAAUUAUUAUACCUUUCCUAUUAGUAAGGGAACUGUGGAAGUGAGAAGUCUCCCGUAAGAAUGAUGCAAUCUGAAAAGUGUUCAGUUUUCUUGCACUUAACUAGGCUGAUUUUUGAUGGGUGUGUUCUUUUUUUUUUUUUUUUUUUUUUUUUUUUUUUUUUUUUUUUUUGAGACGAAGUCUUGCUCUCCCCAGGCUGGAGUGCAGUGGCACAAUCUCGGCUCACUGCAACCUCUGCUUCCUGGGUUCAAGCGAUUCUCCUGCCUUAGCCUCCCGAAUAGCUGGAACUUCAGGUGUGCACCACCACGCCCAGCUAGUUUU
rnacentral:lncRNA from 1 species